rnacentral:rRNA from 1 species
GACUGCAGGCUGCAACCCGCCUGCAUGAAGUCGGAAUUGCUAGUAAUCGCGGAUCAGCAUGCCGCGGUGAAUACGUUCCCGGGCCUUGUACACACCGCCCGUCACACCAUGGGAGCCGGUAAUACCCGAAGUCAGUAGUCCAACCUCGUGAGGACGCUGCCGAAGGUAGGAUUGGCGACUGGGGUGAAGUCGUAACAAGGUAUC